rnacentral:sRNA from 1 species
GCCCUGACUGGGGCAGUCAGCACCAUUAAGUGCUUCCUCUCUGAGGCUUUCCUGGGUCAACACUUCGAGGCUGUGUAGUUGGAGGGCAGGGAGCCUGAGCCAGGAGACCUCUUCCUGUUCAGGCUGAUGUCCCCCACCUGACGCUGGUGCGGGGCCCACGUGGGCGUAUACUGUGGCCAUGGAGAGAUCAUCCACUUUGAGGUUUCUGGGCUCCUGGAAAGGCAUCGUAUCCAAACAGGGGCAGCGCCCGCUGCUACGCUCCCGCUGGCGCGUGCUGCGCAGAGUGAGCGAAGCGAUGGACGCGGACCCACCAUCCUAUCACUCCACGCGCAGCAACUGUGUGCACUUUGCACUG